UUUUGAUUACCAUGCCAUUUUUUCUUUUUCCAUUACUUUUUCUUUUUCCAUUUCAAUUUCCUGUCACCUGAAAGGACCAAAGUACCCUUACCUCUUUCUACCUUAUCCAAUGUGUUUGUGGUUAUCCGAUUGCUCUGUGGCUAGCUUGUUCUGGUCGCCAUGGUUGCUCGCCGGCGUACGCCGCUGAUGCCUGCGCGAGGUACCCUAACUCGCCGCCCUAGCUUCCCACGCCUGAGCGAGUAACUGCAGGUCGCCGCCGGUGCUCGCCCAUGGCUGCGCGCGCCGCUUCAACUCACCCUCGUCACUGCAGCUCUCCGCCGGCGCUCGUCCAUGUCUGCACGCGCCGGCGCAGCUCGCGCUCGCGUGGCGGAUGCUUGCGCUCUGUGGGUGCUUGCCCUCGCCUUGCGGAUGCUUGCGCGUGCCAGCACAGCUCAUUGCGGGUGCUCGCCCAGCUCAUUGCGGGUGCUCGCCCAGGCCUGCGCGCGACAACACAGCUCGCCCUCCCCUGCGUACGUUGGCGCAGCUCGCUCCGCGACAUGCUGGAGAAGUGGGUGGCGCUGAACAUCAGCACCAGUGGCGUGAUGGCAGCAGCAGCUGGAGGAGGAGAUGGAUGCGUGUGAAGUUCUGAAGAUGUUGAAUGCAAGCAACCUAGAACACAACUUUUAGAUACCUUUGAAGAGCAAUAAGAUAUCGAUAUGUCAGGGAGUUCUAGCGACGCAUUAUACAAGGAGCUAUGGCAUGCUUGGGCUAGGCCGUUGAUCACAGUGCCUCGCCAAGGUGAAAGGAUUUACAACUUUCCGCAUGUUUAUAUGGAACAGAUGAGGAAGGGACUAACACAGAAUAAACAAUACCUCGUCAUCUCGAAUGUAGGGCUCAUACCAAGUCCAUAAGGUAUCUGGUUCCGCAACAUACCGCAGGUCCUUGAUCUGCUUCGUGGUAAGUUUCAUGGUGAAGGACUUGUAAAGGAGGCAGAAGGCCUUGGAGGGGACAAUGCGGACGGGAUUGGUGAGGGCAAUGAAGAUCUGAGGAUUUCAAGGCAUAGCCUCUUCUCUAUGAGCAACUCGAAGGGCCGUUUAGACGACUUCAUCUCCAUUUACGUACCCACUGCAAACCAACAUCACACAAUUAUCUCUAAGAUUCAUUUUUUUUUCUGGCAUCAAAA